AGGAAUGGGGUGCAAAGAAUGAACAGAACAAUAAGGCCCAGUCCAGAAUAGGCCUCUUUACCAAACCAAAAACAAAAAAACGCAGGAUCAAUCAUGACCGUCUGAUGGAUCAGACGGCUCUGAUCUAAAAGUAAAAAGAUAAGAUCUAAGCCAUGUGAUUGAAAUCAGAGCCUGAGAGGAGAAGGUGUAUGGUGUGCUGCAAUGGACAUGCGCACACCGGAUCGGGUUGGGGUAUAAAUACCCUCAAACCCUAAAAAAAAUUCAUAAAACUCUCUUCCUUCUUUUCUAUUCUCUGCUAGGGCUCAUCCUCUCCGAUUGAAGAUUCAUCGGUAGCCGCCGUGAGCCACCGCGUCGGANN
rnacentral:lncRNA from 1 species